rfam:Canis lupus familiaris chromosome 7, whole genome shotgun sequence.
GUCUACGGCCAUACCACCCUGAACGCGCCCGAUCUCGUCUGAUCUCGGAAGCUAAGCAGGGUCGGGCCUGGUUAGUACUUGGAUGGGAGAACUAAGGCAGGAAAACAUCCUUAGGAAAUUGUCUCCU